UCAUAACAAGUAGAUAGUCACAGCUGUGC
rnacentral:piRNA from 1 species